rnacentral:rRNA from 1 species
UACGAAGGGGGCAAGCGUUGUUCGGAAUUACUGGGCGUAAAGGGCGCGUAGGCGGCCUUCUAAGUCGAACGUGAAAUCCCCGGGCUCAACCCGGGAACUGCGUCCGAUACUGGAAGGCUUGAAUCCGGGAGAGGGAUGCGGAAUUCCAGGUGUAGCGGUGAAAUGCGUAGAUAUCUGGAGGAACACCGGUGGCGAAGGCGGCAUCCUGGACCGGCAUUGACGCUGAGGCGCGAAAGCCAGGGGAGCAAACGGG